rnacentral:rRNA from 1 species
AUUGAACGCUGGCGGCAGGCCUAACACAUGCAAGUCGAGCGGAUGAAGGGAGCUUGCUCCUGGAUUCAGCGGCGGACGGGUGAGUAAUGCCUAGGAAUCUGCCUGGUAGUGGGGGAUAACGUCCGGAAGCGGGCGCUAAUACCGCAUACGUCCUGAGGGAGAAAGUGGGGGAUCUUCGGACCUCACGCCAUCAGAUGAGCCUAGGUCGGAUUAGCUAGUUGGUGGGGUAAAGGCCUACCAAGGCGACGAUCCGUAACUGGUCUGAGAGGAUGAUCAGUCACACUGGAACUGAGACACGGUCCAGACUCCUACGGGAGGCAGCAGUGGGGAAUAUUGGACAAUGGGCGAAAGCCUGAUCCAGCCAUGCCGCGUGUGUGAAGAAGGCCUUCGGAUUGUAAAGCACUUUUGGUUGGGAAGAAGAGCAGUAAGUUAAUACCUUGCUGUUUUGACGGUACCAACAGAAUAAGCACCGGCUAACUUCGUG